rfam:Ectothiorhodospira sp. PHS-1 contig032, whole genome shotgun sequence.
GGGCGGUUAGCUCAGCGGUAGAGCACUGCCUUCACACGGCAGGGGUCAGUGGUUCGAUCCCACUACCGCCCA